rnacentral:rRNA from 2 species
UACGUAGGGUGCAAGCGUUGUCCGGAAUUAUUGGGCGUAAAGAGCUCGUAGGCGGUUUGUCGCGUCUGCUGUGAAAACGCGAGGCUCAACCUCGCGCCUGCAGUGGGUACGGGCAGACUAGAGUGCGGUAGGGGAGAUUGGAAUUCCUGGUGUAGCGGUGGAAUGCGCAGAUAUCAGGAGGAACACCGAUGGCGAAGGCAGGUCUCUGGGCAUUAACUGACGCUGAGGAGCGAAAGCAUGGGGAGCGAACAGG